UGGUGCUGGUUUGCGUUAUUUUCCCCGGUUUCUGAAUUGUCAUUUUUCAGUUCCUCACCCUGUGUACCUGUAUUAGUGGGAGUGUGCCCUCUCCCUGCCCCCAAAUGGUCUGAAGAGGACCAUCGAAUGCAGGUCACCAUGGAUCAGAUCCUUAAUUAUUUCUCUGUGCUUUAAGCUGCUCGCUCGAUGAAACCCAAGAAUGGUGUGUGCUUCCAACAUUUUUCAGACUGUCCUCCUUGUACCAUACUUUGUCCCUUUACAAUCAUCUUUCUUUCAACAGUUACACUAGAAGUAAUCACAUGACAUUGCUGCUCUGCUUAAAGGAGCCUCUUUUAUCCUAGAAAGAUGUAAAUACAAGGAUUGUCUUCCUGACAAUAAUCCUACCCAAAUAAAACAUGUUGGACACAGUCUUUGGACCAGGUGACAUUGUGAAAACCUUUAUAGCCCUAAGUCCAGCUUAUCUGUCGAAGGUUUGACAUCCAACCUACUUAGAACCGUUUUACAUGGGAGGAGAGACUUUGGGAUGCUAAAACAAUACACUGAUUAGUAAAAAAAUACCAAGUGAGUCCAUAGGCAUUUAUACCCUUUAUAACUGUCAUUGAGCAGUGAUUUGUUAUUCAAGUGCUGAUGUAAGUGAUUGGGUGCUUUGGCUUCAUCACUGGACCUCCUCAGACAUAAUUACACAGAAUCUCUGAUGUAUACCACCAUCGUCCAAGAGCUCAUGAAUUUUUAAUGUAAAUGUUGGCUAAAGAGCACUUUGAAGAGUCAACUCAUUUCACCCUGAUAUGUAAGCGAGCACUCUGAGAGAUUUGAGAAUAUCUGUCAUUCAAGUAUAGAGCGUGGAGUACACUGACAUUUAAUCCAGAGAUUUGGAUUUUCAGUUUUUCGUGGGUUAUCAAUUUCUUAACAGAGAUGGACGAUCUGACCACUUUUGAUGCAGAAGACCUUCGAGUGACAUUGUUUUUAAUUUCAUUGAACCAAAGUGAUGGACAUGCCCUAAACAUCAUCUUCUUAUGCCUCCUGUGGCCACGCUUUGCACACUGACUUUUACCUAAUAAGGUCAUGGUGCUGUUGCAGACCUGUCAAGCAUCCUAAAAAAGAUGUGGUAUUUUCAGCUAAAGACACUAAUGAUCUAUGAUUAAUAAUUUGUUUGGGUAGUUUAGAAUAUAAUAAGUUUUUUAAGUUGCUAGAUUUUUUCUGUCUUACACAGACGCUGAAGUCAGUCGAGCAGUGAAACAAAAGUAAAAUGGUAUUUUUUUGACAUCUAGGGCUCAUUAAUGUGGAUUCAGUUCUGCUGAGGUCCUCCUCACAUACUUUUAGGUUUUUAAUACCUUAGUCUCUUGAAGCCAUGACCAUUAUCAGGCCAGUAAAGAGCACUCUUUGAAAAUUCUGUCAAGUGUAUGAAUGAAGUUUUAUUAUUGACUUGCCAUCAUGGAGAGCAGUAAGCAGCACUAACCCUCAGGGGGAAACCUGAUAGGGCCGUUUCUACCCUGUUCAGAGUAUGCCUUGUUUGAUGGUCAGCUAAACUGCCCAAGGCCUGCCUUGGGGAACUGAGAUUUUUGAAAGCUCAGUUCUCACCACACCCAGCCUUAAAGCACGACCAGCGAUGUGAUGCCCAUGGGGAGACCCAGGCACUCUGUCUGAGAAGUCUGCAAAACUAUAGAGAUCCAACUCCAAAGAUUCUGCUAUGUUCCUCCUCAGAACAAUGACUCUUUCUUGGAUGACCCUGCCAUGGUGAGAGAUUUGUUUGUCAAAGAAAUUGGGACACAUAUCUGGAGCACUAUGAACAUUAUGCUCACAAAUGUCUUAGGAUGAAGUAGACACAGGCAGAGUGGCUUGAGCUGCCUUUGUUUCCGUCAGGCUGUGUGCCCCAAGAUGAGUCGAAUUGUCUCUUCUGGGGUGACACCCAAAGGCAACAAAAUGGCAUUAACAACCAGACUUCCAUACCCUGGACCCAGGUUUUCAACUACAUUUCUCCAAGCUUCUUGAUUCAUCUUGGUUUUCACAGGGUUUCCACCUCUUUCCAGAAACUUGUCUCUAACAUCACAUGGGUGCUUCUCACAAUCUCCCCAUCGGUCUGGGUGCUUAACGUAAUAUUUCAACUUUUCAGGAGCUACAUUUAUUUGCUUUCUUGCCGAGAUUUAAAAGCACUGAUUUAACAAUCAAGAAACAACAGCAACAGCUGGUUGGUUUUUCUUGGUAGAUAGAUAGAAGACAGUGGAAACAAGCUAACCUGGCUUUGUCCAAAGGUAGCAAAAACCUGGAGCUUGUAGAAAAUUACACUGAAUAUUUCUGAUGAGUUUUAUCCAUCGGUCUACAAUAAUUGAGGAUUUGAAAGACUGCUUUUGUUUUAAAAACAGUUAUAUUGGGGACCAUUUAUUGGCCCAGAUUGGUGACUUGCUUAUUUAGUGGGCUUUAAAGAAGUAGUAGUAGAAGGUGGACUAUGUUCUCUUUGGACCCAGUAAGGCUAGCUGCUAACUUAUUUCCUGUCUUGGGACCCCCUCGAAAAUGAGAUGCUGCAUCUCAAGGGGUUAUCCUAAAUAAAUUGAAUUGAAUUGAAUUAAAUUGUCUCUAAGCUGAGCUAUCUGGAUACUGUCUUUAAUAUAACAGGGCCACAUGCAAACAGACAGAGAGAUGACGCCAAUCCUUUUAUCUAUUUCACUGCAAGAAAGCAACUGCAACUGUUGUUUUUUUUUUUUUUUAAUGUUCAAUUGUUUCUUUACAGUGAAAACUUCAUUUCUCCAACCAUUACUUAUGGUUAGUUGCCACCUACCUGCCGUCUGCCACUGACCCUCAGAACCCACACCACUGCCUCUGCAGGCAUCAGCACAGCAGAAGCAUUCAGCCAAUCAGCUCCCCUGAUGCCUUACCGAUCUACAUCCAGGUCAAGGAUUUCACAGAUGGGGUCAAAGAUCCCGUUGCUAUGGAGACAGAGCUGGGACAGGAUGGUGGCCGUCUUGUGAUGCAGUUGGUUGGGGGCCUGACGUCCAAGGGAAGCUGCGUUAAGGGUUAAACAAUGACUGAAGCACAAUCGUAAAAGAUAACACCACACAGUGUUUUUAAUGAAUCCAUCAGAUCUAACAUGUGUUUUCACUUUCUAUUAUCUGCAGAAGAGAAUAACUUGGAGUCAAAUAUAUAAAGCGGCCCUUUUUUUCAGCCUGUGGCCCUGUGGACAUUUGCUGAGGUGACUGUUGGGUUUAUUGCCUAAAACACUCAAUAGAGACAUCAGACGUGGGUUUGUGUUCUACACUGCAAAUUGUAUCAGUGUGCAGAAGCUAAUGUAAUGUUGGGCUGUGGGCCUGGACACUGGUCAUCAUCCUCCUGUAGACUUGAUUCCACUGUCCGCAGGUGUUCCCCGCUCCUCUUUGAUUGGAUGGAGACUCGAGUCAUCUCGUGGUAGCUCAGGCCUAAAUCAGUCUCCUAUCGAAACGUGUCAUCUAAAGCUGAUAGACACUACAGCCUUCAGCCAGCCCACUGGGGCUGUAUUUAUUAUAUGUAUACCCUGCAGCAUAUGGUACAUCUCUCUGAUGGGGGAAAUUCUACAGCUUUUAUUGAGGAGAGAAAAUUAGAUUAGGUGAUCUUCUCGAAAGGCUUCUCCCUUGGUUUACCCAUGUACUGUGUGUGGAUGUACGGCUAGUGGCCAGCUGCAGCACUCUGUUUUAUAAGUACGGUUUUAAAAUGGCUCUGGAUAAGCACAUUUUUCUAGAAUACAUGGAUAUGAGAUAGAAUUAGGCCAUUUACUUGAUUUGAAUUCAUUUGGCCAGACAGCAUUUCUCAUUAUUUAUUCAUCUCUGGCAUUUUCUUUUGCCAAAUCUGCCAUACUUUUUAAUUUUCUGUCAGACUCGCCUUAUUUAUGAGACUGAUUAGACAUUUUCAAGGGGAUAAAGACUGUAAGAGAGUGGGAUUAGAGGUUAUUAUACUCAUGCUGACUGGAAAGGGUUGUGUUAUCUAUGGCCUGCAGGUGGCAGCAUAAUGAACCUCCAAGUUAAGGAGGCCUCAUAUUCAAAGCAGCUGAGUUCUUGAUUGACAUUUGCUGUGUCAUGAAGAGGGGUCACAGACUUCAAACCUCACACGGUAAAGACAGGUCUCUUUGUUUUAUUCACAGAAGCUGAGGGUUGGUUUAUAUGUAAUGGCAAAAUUACGCAUGAUUUCCUGCAGCUGGAUUAAACUGGGCCCUCUCAACACCCUGCAUGCACGUAGAAAGUGAAUCAGCAUGGACAUCACGCGGGAAAACGGGCACACUAUAGAGACCGUCACGUGAGUUUUGUGCAGUUGUGUUUAAUCACUGAAAAGCCUCUGAAUGCUACACUCACCCCUGAUAUGUGUUCACUAUCCCUUCCUGCACUUAAAACUAAAAUCCCCCCUCGCUUUCCGCUUUGCACGCGCCUCUUUCUCCUCAGCAGCAGCACCACAGCCACCGGGUCGCCAUGGAAACCACUGGGAGACAUACGUCGAGGGGUGAAGAGAGAAAGGGGGACAACGCGGGACACGAAAAGAGAAAGAGGAGGCAUGAAAGGUUAGGGUGUUGCCCCCCUCCACCCUCCCUUCCUCCCCCCCAAAUACACCUCCUACACCCACCCCACCCUACCUCACCUCUAACCCCUCCACCCUUCGGUUUAAUGCCGAGCCCCCCAAGCCCAGAUCAACCGCCCCACACACUGGCCCCUCUUACAUGCACCUCUGCCCGCCCCCCGAACCCUCUCCCCCAUCUUUUGCUCUCCAUCCCUCUCUUGUCCAGACAGGCUGCUCGCAUGGCGAGGAUGGAGACGUUCACCGAUGGAAGCACUGGUAAAUUUCACACCCACAAAAACACGCACAUAAAAAAGUAGAGGCAGAUUUCAGAGACUGCGCAAAGGUGCCUUAGACUGAACUUCUUUUUUCUCUAUGUGUCUGUUCACCUUCCUCUCCUCAGCUGUACCACACACACACCCCUUUUCCUUCUUAAAAUCCCAGUCUUUUCAUUCUGUGUUAAUUCAAACCGCGAGAGAUUUGAGUCCCGACAUUCCUCCUGGCAGCGUCCUGGGAGAGGGCAGAGAGGAGAGAGGGGCUGGAGAAAUAUCGGUCCUAAUGAUUUUUUGUACGGGGAUGGUCUUUUUCUGUUUUAUUGAUUAGGUAGAAAUUAAUUCACGGGGGCAACCCUCGUGUUCUGACUCUCUCUCUCUCCCCCUACCUUACUCUCUCUCUCUCUCUUUCCCCCUCCUGUCCUCCCUUGCUCCUUUGCUCUGUGGACGAAUAGCGUUGUGUCUUCUUGCUUGCUCUGCAUGUUGUAUUGUCGCGGGAAUAUUUGAUUCGGAAUAUGCUCAGCGCUUCAUGCAUAUGCGGAAGUCCCUCUGCAGGCAUACACUUGCUCUGUUUUCCCUUUAUCGACAGCAAAUAGCGUGAACGUUAACUGCAUUAUAACGGCGAGAGGGAUGAAUGUGUUGUUGUGAUGUUACUGAAUGCUCUGUGCGUAUUUUACGCGUAACGCCACCCACAUUUGAAUGCAUGCAGAUCGAGCAGCAGGAGGUUAAGCUCAGAAAUGAUGAGGAAAUAACGUCUUAAAAUCUAUUUUCAUUAUCUGGUAUCGUGACUCAGUGAUUUUCCAUCAUCUUCUUCUCCUUCUUUGUUGUUUGAUUCCAAACUGCAAAAUGCUUCGGCUGGUUUGAGAGCUCAUUACGCACAGGUGGGCGUGCACGAUGGUCGCCUUCUUAAUAGGUAGCCCGUGUCCUAAUCUGUGCAUAAUGUCGCCUAUAACCCAGCAGUUUACGACCACAUUUACCUGCUGUUUGAUGGUUUUAAUCAGCCCAGUCGAUAUUUGCUUCGUCGGUGUCCCGAUGCCCGCAGAUAGCAACAAUAACACCUCAGCACGGUGAGGGCUGAUCCGCCGCCGAAGGGAAAUCGAUGGGCAGACUGAGUUAAUUAUGAGAAAAUCAAUUAAAAGGAGGGGAUUGUGGGCUUUAUAAGGCCGAGCCGGGAGCUCACAUCGGCAGAGGAGAGGAGGAGAGGAGGGGAGCGGGACACUGGAACACUCUCCGUCUGGGGCUCUCCUUCCUCCUCUAUAGCAGUCCGCUUAGCGCACGCUGUCUGCUGGCUGCUGCCUCUGCACGGUGCCAGGUCAUGAUUCAAAGCAGCUUUACUCCAAACCAUGCAAAGACACUCUUGUAUCACCAAUUUACCCCUCUGAACGUCACGCAGACAUCUCUUUAUUUUUCCUUUUUUUUUUACAGUGUGAUGAUUUGAUCUGCUCAGUCUCACUGUAUGGACACACACACACACACACACACACACACACACACACACACACACACACACACACACACACACACACACACACACACACACACACACAUCUAGGGAGUGGGGUCAUCCUGGAUUAUCAUUGCCGUUGUUUAGAUCAGAUGUCCCUUCAUAACAUAUUUAUCCUUUUGAAAUUUCACGCCAUAUGAAAUCUACCCAUCGUGACUCAUUAGUUCUCAUUGUAUUUCCUUCAUUUGCAUCUUCACUUGCACUCUCACACUGUCCCAAACCAAAUGUAUCGAUGAUCAGUUUCUUAUAAUAGCACUGCUGCAGGGUCAGGGUGUCCAGUGGUUGCCUCUCUGAUUUUGGAUGGUGUCUAGAAACCCGUUCAGAUGAAAGAAACUGCCUUUUAUCAUUUAGACUGAUUUUCAGCACCAUUAAAGAUCGUCUGCAAGUUCGUAGGCAAAUGGAAACUGUACGUGUCGUUGUGGAUAUACGCUCCCCCAGUCCAGUCAUAAAGUCAAUCAGACCAGAGCCUUUUUAUUGAAAUAUAUAUCUCUAUAAGAUUCAUGUGUGAACAUUUUAAGAUUCUCAUGAUAUGGUGAGACGAGUGUGAUCCACUCUGCACAUUAACUUGACCCACGUUGAUGGUCUUUGUUAAUAGAGAAUCCCUGGAGAAGGAUUGUGUGUUCAUUUGAAGUUGUGUUUUUUGCACAUUGCACAAUCUCUCAUUAAGCAAAGAGCAUCUUUGUUCAAACUUCUCCCUCUUCUUUUGCAUAUAUUCUCAUUUGUUGCGCAUAACAAUGAAGGCGUCCACUCCACUCGGGACAGGACACUUUAUCUUACCUAACAAACGUGGUGAUGUUUCAAGUAAAUACAGUGCACUUUUUCACGUGGGUUAUUAUUCUUACAGUGAAAGGGUGACAAUGCCAGAUGAGCUGCUCUGCUUUUGUGACUCGUGUUCUGAACUUGGGUGGAUUUUUUCAUUGUAACAGGCUGAGUUUUGUCCACUCGUGACGGUGAAUCUCUCCUUUUUUUCCUAUCAUAUACACUUCCAUAUUUAGAUUCAGCAUAAUUUUACCAUUAGCGUGAAAAAAACUGUGAGUGUAAGCAAGAGAGAGGAAAGUGUGUGUGUGUGUGUGUGUGUUCGUUUCGGUGUGUGUUGUACUUGUCUCCUUGUGAUCUGCGCAAUUAUUCAGUUAAAGUUCCUAUUUUCUUGUUUGCAAACGAUUCAAAAUAUUGUUUAAAAUUCAAUCAAAUAGCGGAAUAACGAAAUGAGUUUGAUCUGAAUGUCGCUUUAGUUUUAUAAAGUACUACAAACUCUGCUGCUUUUGCAUAACAAGUUAAAAUCUGCAAAUCCUUCCGUUGUUAACUCUUGGAUAAAGACAUUUUGUGCAGGAUUAAAAUGUCUAUUUUUAAAGAUAAUCUGCAUUUUACAGCCAGGUUGAUAUGAAUGUUUUUAGAUUAUGCAAAUAUUCAUGCAGAUUUAUCAUAUGCAUACAGGCUGUCAUGCAUGGGCCUCUCCGUGUUGCGAGUGUUGCAGCUUCUCCUGCAGACCCUCUCCAGUUUAAAUGUAUUUUUGGUGAAUUUAUGCAUAUUAUUCAAAUAUAAAAAUCGAUUGCAUAUUAUUCAAUUUCUUAUCGUAUCUCAAUCGAAGUUCGGUUCAGUCAACAGCUGACAUUUUAAGAGGUAAUCCAGCCCUUCCAUUGGAUAAAAACGUGAUUGAAAUCCUUUGCCGAAAGUUCCAGAAUAUUUAAAACUAGAAUUCUCAUUUUUUAAAGAGCUAUAGGCUACUUUUAUCAAAUACCAUCAUAGACACGUUCAUCUUUAUGGUGCAAGAAUUUCUUGAAUUUUCCUGAUCCUGAUAUUAUUUUAUGGAGUGAUCAUGUCGAAUUUCUCCUCCGUGUAAAUGCAAAUCAUGUUGUAAAUAGACACAGUCUGAGUUACAGUUUAUUAACUUUAGAGAGGAGCAGAGGUGGUAUGGAUGCUCCAACAGACAUCUUAGAAACGUUUUAUUAAAGUCUGGAUAAUUAUAAAAUAUGAAACUCCACACAGAGGCUUUAGUUUGAAUUUUGGAGCUCAGAUUAAAUUAUUAACUCCUAAUAUGUCCCGCAGAAAAUCGACAGGAUGUGCGUAAUUCCUGCAGCUCCUCAAGUUUAUUCUAUUAGGAGAAAGUCCAAUAAGAUAAAAUGCCCCUAAUCAAGCCACGUCUGCAUUUUUCGCGUUAAACUAAAACACGAAAUCUAAAUAUUUCUGAAAUUGCGUUCUGAUCAUUUCGCAUGUAUGAGUUCAGGGAGGUGAUCAGUCAUAAUUCUCGGUCAGUCUAAUCCCAGAAGGGUUGAGAAAAAACGGUGUAAACGAAAGGUAGCUGCUAGAAGAGCUGCUCUCGUGUUUUUUUGCAGAACAAGCACCCUGACUGUCCGUCCUGCACCUUAUCGACUGGAAACAGACCCCAUAACUGAUACACUCAAUUUUAUGGUUUAUGUUAAAGUCUAUGCAGCCUGUCCGAGGUCUCAUUUCAUAAAGCCUUUAUUGGCUCAGCUCUGUGUUAGAAAGCCGAUCGCUGCUGUAGGCUUUGAAGGAGCUUUUCUAUACAUUUCUGUUACUGGGCCACUUC